rnacentral:ncRNA from 1 species
CUCACCCAGGUCUGUGGUUGCGGGCGCAAGCCCUAGUCCAUGGCAGACGAGGCCAAAGGGACCCACGUAAGCCUGCGCGUGCGCGCGGAGGCGAGCAUGGCUCGUCCUAGAGGUAAGCCGUACCGCCCGUCAGACUGAAGAGGCAUACCGCCUCGCGGGCGAGAGGGUCGGUAGUGACGGGUGCCGCGGCAUCCCGAGCGAGCGCCCCGGUACGCGAGUGUGGGGGCAAAGACCAGGUCAGCUGGGUGAG